rnacentral:sRNA from 12 species
GCUUUGGAGUGGCACAUCAAAUUGGAGUAGUAUUUAUAUACAAAACAAGCCACGAUGAAUUAGCAA